rnacentral:rRNA from 1 species
AGUGAACGCUGGCGGCGUGCCUAAUACAUGCAAGUCGAACGAAGUGGCGCACGGGUGAGUAAUAUAUAGUUAAUCUGCCCUACACAGAGGAACAACAGCUGGAAACGACUGCUAAUACCUCAUAGUGUAGGAUGAGGCUAUAUCGUAUCAGCUAGUUGGUAAGGUAAUGGCUUACCAAAGCUAUGACGCGUAACUGGUCUGAGAUGAUGAUCAGUCGCAGUUGAAGUGAGACACGGUCCAAACUCCUACGGGAGGGAGCAGUAAGGAAUAGUGCGCAAUGGGGGAAACACUGACGCAGCUACGCCGCGUGGAGGAUGACACUUUGGGGAGCGUAAACGCCAUUUAUCAGGAAAGCGGUACCUGAUGAAUAAGCACCGGCUAACUCCGUGCCAGCCGCCGCGGUAAUUC